GUUUUGGAGGCAUAAUCGUCCAAAUGACGUGAUUUUUUAGCGGCCUUACGCCCACUAGGGGCCACCGGCUUAUUCUCUGGGGGGUUAGCCACGGGGUUAGCAGGUAAUUGCGUGGCUCUCAUCGCCGUAGUUAUGGAAUGGGAUAAAUUCUCUGACAUGGCACCCAUGGCAGUAACUAUGGCCUGCGUUACAGACUUCGUCAUAGCCGCGUCUAAGAGGGAAUGCAAUUCCUCUGAGUCCAUAUGCUCUUGCGCUGUGUCCAACGCAGUGGGCAUUUUG
rnacentral:lncRNA from 1 species